rnacentral:rRNA from 1 species
UAGGGAAUCUUCCACAAUGGACGCAAGUCUGAUGGAGCAACGCCGCGUGAGUGAAGAAGGUUUUCGGAUCGUAAAGCUCUGUUGUUGGUGAAGAAGGAUAGAGGUAGUAACUGGCCUUUAUUUGACGGUAAUCAACCAGAAAGUCACGGCUAACUACGUGCCAGCAGCCGCGGUAAUACGUAGGUGGCAAGCGUUGUCCGGAUUUAUUGGGCGUAAAGCGAGCGCAGGCGGAAGAAUAAGUCUGAUGUGAAAGCCCUCGGCUUAACCGAGGAAUUGCAUCGGAAACUGUUUUUCUUGAGUGCAGAAGAGGAGAGUGGAACUCCAUGUGUAGCGGUGGAAUGCGUAGAUAUAUGGAAGAACACCAGUGGCGAAGGCGGCUCUCUGGUCUGCAACUGACGCUGAGGCUCGAAAGCAUGGGUAGCGAACAGG